UGUAGAUCCCACAUACCUAGCUAAGUGCACAGUUCCUCAGUUAUGGCAGAUACAGCAUUCACAUUCUGCAAAGUGAGGAGCCUUCGGGGAGACUCUCUUUGAGGGCAGUUAUGCCCAAGUCGCAGAGUUUUCCCAAGGGACCAGCCAGAGGAAGCCUCAGCUGAGUAGCCCUGUGAAGAGAAAUCCUGUGUCAGGCAAAGCUCUGAUUUGAAUGAACACAGUUGUCUUAACCUCUAGUUUCCUAAUUUCCUCCAUUGGUGUCUAGUGUUUGACAAGCCGUUUCUGUUUGGAGACGUUAAGCUGCUCCUCUCUACUCCAGCACCAUGCCCACAGCCUUCACUCAGUUGGCCCUGGAACAACUAUUUCCAAGAUCUAUGCAAGGGAAAGAGAGACUGAAAGGGAACAUGAAGCAAAAUGAUCCCUUAAUUCAAGUGAAUCAUUGUUACCUUCCUUCACAUAUCCCUUCUCUCCUCCUUCAUUGUUCUCCUUUCAAAAGAGAAGUAAUAUGUUCCAAAUCGGACCACAAAGAGGAUCUUCAGAAUCAAGUUAAAUUGGAGCGCAAGGAUUGGGGCUGAUGGGAAUAUGGAUUUUCAAGGUGCCAAGUCUGAUCUAAUUUAUGUUCAUUUCCUGAUUUCCAGCCUUUGGGCAUUUAUUGAAAUAGGGUUUCAUUGUAGAGUUCUUAUAUAACAUGUAUCCCCAUAGAUGUUGUUUUAAAUUUAAUCCAGAACAUAUAACUUUAUAUAUUUUGUUCUGUGAAAAACUGUAUAUGUGUACAAGUGGUGAAUUCCAUGUGCCAAGUAUUUAGACUAGUGUUAUAAUUUCUCUGGUGCUUCCCUAAGCAGCUUUCUCUAAAGGGGCUUGUAACUCAUAAUCACAGGGGCUGUUUGUGAAUAUAUUUCUCUGGGUCAGAAAUUUUGCCAGCGCUGACAGGCACCCUGGACAGCUUUUCAGAAAUCUCCUGGUUAUUACUCAUCCAUUAGAAAGGAAAAAAAUGAUAUUUUGCGUCAGUAGUUGUUUUUCUCUCUCUUUUUUCUUCUAAAUUACAGAAAUAAAGUGCCCAUUGUAAAUCGUUGAUGCUGGCGGACAAUAUUGCAUGCAGAUCAGGCGGACAGCUCAUUGGAUGAACAUGGCUCAACUUUCUUUCAUAAUUAAGAAUUUGCAACUUGGGUAACGACAAAAAUCGCAUCUGCACUAAAAUCAGUUGUUUGGGAAAGAUUCUCUCCCAAAAUAACCAAAGAGCUUGUUAUUUGUUAGAAGAAUUAUAGAGUGGAGUUCCUUGGGAGUAACCUGGGACAUGAGAGUCUCAGAACCAGAAUCUACUAGUGAUCAGUUUGGAUCUACAG
ensembl:lncRNA